rnacentral:rRNA from 1 species
AUGUUAGCACAACCGAUAAAUUUUCUGAGCUGGAAUGUUCGGGGCCUCAACUGCCCGGACCGUCGAUCCACAGUCAAUGCCACCAUCGCCUCCUCCUCUUGUCAUGUGGUCUGCCUUCAAGAAACGAAACUCGACAAUAUCGACCAAUUCACGGCCGCCUUCUUAGGGGGUCAUCGGUUGCGUAGCUUUGCGCAACGACCAGCGAACGGUACCAGAGGGGGGAUCCUGCUGCUCUGGGAUGAUCUCCUAGUUGAGAUAUCCAACAUCACUACCACAACUUUCUGCAUCUCCGCCAUGGUCCGUGUUCGCGAAUCGGGGGCAAUAUUUAAAGUAACAUCCGUCUAUGGUCCUACUGACCCCGCCCUCAAAGACGCUUUCUUUGCCGAGCUCCUUGGACAGAAACCGCCGGUGGGGGUGUCUUGGCUAGCCUGUGGGGACUUCAACCAAAUUUAUCGGGCGAGGGAUAAAAAUAAGAGGAAUGUGAACCGCAGUAGGAUCAACCGUUUCCGGGCAGUGCUCGAUAGCUGCGAGCUCAAAGAGAUCCAUCUUCAGAACAGGAGGUUCACCUGGAGCAACGAGAGGCAAAACCCAACGCUGAGCAAGCUUGACUCCUUCUUCUGCAACGUCGAGUGGGACACAACCUUCAACACGCAUGUGCUCCACGCCCUCUCCUCGUCCCUCUCCGAUCACUGUCCGCUUUUGCUCGCCGACGAUAAGGGGCCUAGGCGGCCUAAGACUUUCAAAUUCGAAAACUUCUGGGUCUCCAUGCCCGGUUUCAGUGAGGUAGUCCAAAAGGCAUGGGAUGAGCAUGUUGAUCACACUGAGCCCUACAUCAUCCUCUUCCACAAGCUCAAGAAAACGGCUCUUCGUCUGUCGCAAUGGAGCAGAGGUCUCUUCUCUCGAGCCAAGGUCCAUCUCCAGGCUGCCCUUCUGGUGAUUCUUCGCCUUGACAUUGCACAAGAAGGCAGGCAAUUAAACACUGAGGAGCUUGACCUUCGGGCUAGGCUUAAGCGGAGAGUAAUAAGCUUGGCCGUGCUUGUGAAGGGACACAAGAAG